rnacentral:rRNA from 1 species
AGUGAACGCUGGCGGUAGGCCUAACACAUGCAAGUCGAACGGCAGCACAGUAAGAGCUUGCUCUUACGGGUGGCGAGUGGCGGACGGGUGAGGAAUACAUCGGAAUCUACUUUUUCGUGGGGGAUAACGUAGGGAAACUUACGCUAAUACCGCAUAUGACCUACGGGUGAAAGCAGUGGAUCUUCGGACCUUGCGCGACUGAAUGAGCCGAUGUCGGAUUAGCUAGUUGGCUGGGUAAAGGCCCACCAAGGCGACGAUCCGUAGCUGGUCUGAGAGGAUGAUCGGCCACACUGGAACUGAGACACGGUCCAGACUCCUACGGGAGGCAGCAGUGGGGAAUAUUGGGCAAAGGGCGCAAGCCUGACCCAGCCAUACCGCGUGGGUGAAGAAGGCCUUCGGGUUGUAAAGCCCUUUUGUUGGGAAAGAAAAGCAGCAGGUUAAUACCCCGCUGUUCUGACGGUACCCAAAGAAUAAGCACCGGCUAACUUCGUG